UACGGAGUUGCAAAAGAACGAGGUAGAAGAAGAAGUCUGGAAAGGCCCGCCAUAGGAGGUAACAGCCCUGUAGUCAAAACUUCGUUCUCUCCUGAGUGGAUCCUGAGUACGGCGGAACACGUGAAAUUCCGUCGGAAUCCGGGAGGACCAUCUCCCAAGGCUAAAUACUCCCUAGUGACCGAUAGUGAACCAGUACCGUGA
rnacentral:rRNA from 1 species